UACGAAGGGGGCUAGCGUUGUUCGGAAUUACUGGGCGUAAAGCGCAUGUAGGCGGGUCUUUAAGUCAGGGGUGAAAUGCCAAGGCUCAACCUUGGAACUGCCUUUGAUACUGGAGAUCUUGAGUCCGGAAGAGGUGAGUGGAACUGCGAGUGUAGAGGUGAAAUUCGUAGAUAUUCGCAAGAACACCAGUGGCGAAGGCGGCUCACUGGCCCGAUACUGACGCUGAGGCACGAAAGCGUGGGGAGCAAACAGG
rnacentral:rRNA from 1 species